rnacentral:rRNA from 1 species
CCUACGGGAGGCAGCAGUGGGGAAUAUUGCACAAUGGGGGAAACCCUGAUGCAGCGACGCCGCGUGAAGGAUGAAGUAUUUCGGUAUGUAAACUUCUAUCAGCAGGGAAGAAAAUGACGGUACCUGACUAAGAAGCCCCGGCUAACUACGUGCCAGCAGCCGCGGUAAUACGUAGGGGGCAAGCGUUAUCCGGAUUUACUGGGUGGAAAGGGAGCGUAGACGGUAUGGCAAGUCUGAUGUGAAAACCCGGGGCUCAACCCCGGGACUGCAUUGGAAACUGCCGAACUAGAGUGUCGGAGAGGCGAGUGGAAUUCCUAGUGUAGCGGUGAAAUGCGUAGAUAUUAGGAGGAACACCAGUGGCGAAGGCGGUCUGCUGGACAGCAACUGACGCUGAGGCGCGAAAGCGUGGGGAGCAAACAGGAUUAGAUACCCGUGUAGUC